rnacentral:rRNA from 1 species
GACGAACGCNGGCGGCGUGCUUAACACAUGCAAGUCGAACGAAGAGCGAUGGAAGUUUGCUUCUAUCAAUCUUAGUGGCGAACGGGUGAGUAACGCGUAAUCAACCUGCCCUUCAGAGGGGGACAACAGUUGGAAACGACUGCUAAUACCGCAUACGAUCUAAUCUCGGCAUCGAGGAUAGAUGAAAGGUGGCCUCUACAUGUAAGCUAUCACUGAAGGAGGGGAUUGCGUCUGAUUAGCUAGUUGGAGGGGUAACGGCCCACCAAGGCGAUGAUCAGUAGCCGGUCUGAGAGGAUGAACGGCCACAUUGGGACUGAGACACGGCCCAGACUCCUACGGGAGGCAGCAGUGGGGAAUCUUCCGCAAUGGACGAAAGUCUGACGGAGCAACGCCGCGUGAGUGAUGACGGCCUUCGGGUUGUAAAGCUCUGUUAAUCGGGACGAAAGGCCUUCUUGCGAAUAGUGAGAAGGAUGACG